AUAUGCGCCCAAUUACCUCAGGCUGCAAUCCCAUUGGCUAAGCAGUGCAAGGCCUGGUUAGUACUUAGAUGGGAGACCUCCAGGGUAAAUGCAGAGGGCACAGAAU
rnacentral:rRNA from 1 species